UACGUAGGGUGCGAGCGUUAUUCGGAAUUACUGGGCGUAAAGCGUGCGCAGGCGGUUCUGUAAGUCAGCUGUGAAAGCCCCGGGCUUAACCUGGGAAAUGCGGUUGAAACUACAGGGCUAGAAUCUGGCAGAGGGGGGUGGAAUUCCACGUGUAGCAGUGAAAUGCGUAGAUAUGCGGAGGAACACCGAUGGCGAAGGCAAUCCCCUGGGCCUGCACUGACGCUCAUGCACGAAAGCGUGGGGAGCAAACAGG
rnacentral:rRNA from 1 species